rnacentral:rRNA from 1 species
CCUACGGGGGGCAGCAGUGAGGAAUAUUGGUCAAUGGACGAGAGUCUGAACCAGCCAAGUAGCGUGAAGGAUGACUGCCCUAUGGGUUGUAAACUUCUUUUAUAUGGGAAUAAAAUGUUCCACGUGUGGGAUUUUGUAUGUACCAUAUGAAUAAGGAUCGGCUAACUCCGUGCCAGCAGCCGCGGUAAUACGGAGGAUCCGAGCGUUAUCCGGAUUUAUUGGGUUUAAAGGGAGCGUAGGUGGAUUGUUAAGUCAGUUGUGAAAGUUUGCGGCUCAACCGUAAAAUUGCAGUUGAAACUGGCAGUCUUGAGUACAGUAGAGGUGGGCGGAAUUCGUGGUGUAGCGGUGAAAUGCUUAGAUAUCACGAAGAACUCCGAUCGCGAAGGCAUUGUACCGGAGCAAGACUGACGCUGAGGCUCGAAAGUGCGGGUAUCAAACAGGAUUAGAUACCCGGGUAGUC